rnacentral:rRNA from 1 species
ACAGCAGCAGCCGCGGUAAUACGAAGGGGGCUAGCGUUGUUCGGAAUUACUGGGCGUAAAGCGCACGUAGGCGGAUAUUUAAGUCAGGGGUGAAAUCCCAGAGCUCAACUCUGGAACUGCCUUUGAUACUGGGUAUCUUGAGUAUGGAAGAGGUGAGUGGAAUUCCGAGUGUAGAGGUGAAAUUCGUAGAUAUUCGGAGGAACACCAGUGGCGAAGGCGGCUCACUGGUCCAUUACUGACGCUGAGGUGCGAAAGCGUGGGGAGCAAACAGGAUUAGAUACCCCAGUAGUCCCUGUCUCUUAUAC